GCGGGGGUGCCCGAGCCUGGUCAAAGGGGCAGGACUUAAGAUCCUGUGACCUUAGGGUCGUCGAGAGUUCAAAUCUCUCCCCCCGCA
rnacentral:tRNA from 1 species